rnacentral:rRNA from 1 species
UACGUAGGUGACCAGCGUUGUCCGGAUUUACUGGGCGUAAAGAGCGCGCAGGCGGUCGUUCAAGUCGAGUGUGAAAGCCCCCGGCUCAACUGGGGAGGGUCAUUCGACACUGAUCGACUGGAAGGCAGGAGAGGGAAGCGGAAUUCCCGGUGUAGUGGUGAAAUGCGUAGAUAUCGGGAGGAACACCAGUGGCGAAGGCGGCUUCCUGGCCUGUUCUUGACGCUGAGGCGCGAAAGCUAGGGGAGCAAACGGG